AUUGAACGCUGGCGGCAGGCCUAACACAUGCAAGUCGAACGAGUGGCGGACGGGUGAGUAAUGUCUGGGAAACUGCCCGAUGGAGGGGGAUAACUACUGGAAACGGUAGCUAAUACCGCAUACCAUCGGAUGUGCCCAGAUGGGCUUAGCUAGUAGGUGGGCGAACGGCUGACCUAGGCGACGAUCCCUCGCUGGUCUGUGAGGAUGACCAGCCACACUGGAACUGAGACACGGGCCAGACUCCUACGGGAGGCAGCAGUGUGGAAUAUUGCACAAUGGGCUCAAGUCUGAUGCAGCCAUGCCGCGGGUAUGAAGAAGGCCUUCGGGGUGUAAAGUACUUUAAGCGAGGAGGCGUUACUCGAAGAAGAAGCACCGGCUAACUCCGUGACAGCAGCCGCGGUAAUAC
rnacentral:rRNA from 1 species